rnacentral:rRNA from 1 species
AGCAGCAGCCGCGGUAAUACAGAGGGUGCGAGCGUUAAUCGGAUUUACUGGGCGUAAAGCGUGCGUAGGCGGCUUUUUAAGUCGGAUGUGAAAUCCCUGAGCUUAACUUAGGAAUUGCAUUCGAUACUGGGAAGCUAGAGUAUGGGAGAGGAUGGUAGAAUUCCAGGUGUAGCGGUGAAAUGCGUAGAGAUCUGGAGGAAUACCGAUGGCGAAGGCAGCCAUCUGGCCUAAUACUGACGCUGAGGUACGAAAGCAUGGGGAGCAAACAGGAUUAGAGACCCCUGUAGUCCCUGUCUCUUAUAC